CAGUCCGUAAGGGUUAACCACCCUGCUAGUAGUUGGUUGGGGGUUCGACUCGCGACAUCACUCGCGAUCUUGGCCUCCCGUGGGUGCUCGUUCUCAGGAUCUGACAGAAAAGGAGAAUAACAAUGACUUAAAUGACACCAGCAAAAGGAAAAGGCUGUUGAGUAGGUUGAGUGUCUCCGUUUGCCCGGUCAGAUGGGUAGAUAUACUUUUUUCAUGUAUCAUGCACAGUGAUGGGGACAAAAGAUUAAUGUGCGUAUUGGAUCCCAGCAACUACUUCCGGCCCCCUAAAUUUGACACGUCAGUUCACACUGUACCUUAAUGGUACUGCUGCAACAGUUUCAGCUGGAGAGGUAUCCCGAUUUCAUGAUGGGGUUGAUGGUCUAAGCAUCCAGCAUGGCACACCUUCUGCACAUCAAAAUCAUCUUUUAGCAAAGACCGAAAAUGCAAGCAACUCAAUUCAGAAUAGAAAUGGCUUGGAAAAUUAGGAUUUGUUUGAUGGGGAAAAGUAUGCUCCAUUCCAUUGCAUCGCCAGUAUCCAUGGAAGAGAUGGUCGGUUCUCCGAGCAGCGCC
rnacentral:lncRNA from 1 species